CGUGGCAUUCAAAAUAAUUUCAUUCAAUAGAAGUUGCGCAAGGCGCCAAACUUGUGUUUUGUGUUUCUUCGUUAGUGUUAUGACGAGUGGUGACAGACUGUACAUUGUUAAAAUUAAUUUUUAUUUCUAACAAUUUAAAACCAAUGAAGUUUCUAUAAAUCAUUAAAAUAAUUCGUUUCUUACAAGUUUUAAGUUUUUUAAUGAUUUUAUUAUUUUCGCGAAUUUCACAACCAUAUCAAAAGUCAAGUGUACCAUAUAACAUGUUAGGCAAUGGGUUACCUGCAGAUUUUUAUUGGUUACGGUUGCAUAAGACAAAUAUUAACAAAAUCAAGGCUAAUUCCAAAAUAAUGUAGAUCACAUCAUCGGGUAGCGACAUUUGAAUUUUUCUAGGCUAUAUUUACCAUAUUCUCUAAUAAGCGUAAAAGUAGGUGUAUCUGCAGUUCGUAAUUAUACACAUGCACACAAGCGAUGCUGUGAAACAUCCACGUAAAUACGUUUUUCGCUGGCGUGAUUAUAGAUGUGUUUGGAAUUGUGUUAAUUCCAGGGCGAAAAAUACCAUAGUCGAUAUUUUUGCAACAUAUACACCAAUAUUUACAUAUUUGCGAAAAACUCGAUUUGUUUGUAAAUUUGCAUCAUCACUACAAGGUCACCGACUUUACAGUGUACGCUUUUAGGUAAGAAGGCACUUACACUAUUGCAUUGUUUUGCAAUAUUCAGUCAAUGUAGACACUACCUUGACUAUAUCAAUGUCAAUGAAAAAUUAUUAACGCUUCUGGCAAAAUUUUAUAUUCGUAUUUUUUUUGCCACUGGAAAAUGGUGACUACAUGGUUCAAAAGUCAUACAAAAACAGUCAGGGAUGUUAGUUUUUUUGUACUGCAAAGUAUUCGUAAAUGAAUAUCACAACGAAGUGCCGCCUUGUCGAAAUAAGGCAAAACAUUAUGUACUGCCAAAGUGACCAUCAUAUCUGGGAACGGAUAGUGAAGAUUCUAUAAAGUCUUCGUCAGGCAUCGGAAGCAUUCGAACAACUGUCAACACCCAUCGAAGAGUCUCGAACAAGUCCUAACAGCAAUCGAAGAUCAUCGAGCCAUUUGUAGUGUGAAGUUCCCUGCAGAAUUUCGGAUGCCACAUGACUCUAAAUUAUUAAUAAAAAUUCCAGUGUAAAAAAUGAUAUUUUUUGAAAUAUAGAUCUCUGGUCUGUGUUUUUGAAAUGAAAAUAUAACAUGACACCAGUUGCAAGUUGUGUCAAAACAUCAACGUUAUCCUCCCGAGUUCCGGAGCAGUCUUUGAAACGGAAAGUUAUUAAUAUGACACCUGUCCAUCGAACAAAAGGUUGCGUCAAAAUGAUCCAUUCGUUUUUACACUAUAAAAUUAUUGCGUAAAGUAAUAAUUUACUUUUACUCUGGAUCAUAAAUCUUGUCCGAGACAUGACCAUGCAGUUAUGAAGUUAUGAAACAAAAGACAAGUUUCUGAAUACGAGUCAGGUUCAAGUGCAGAUUUUGAACCGCUCUGAAAUUAGGCAAUAGAUUCAUCGAUGUCAAGGUCUAACUGCUUUGCCGAGGAAUUACUGUAUACUCUUCGCACUCGCUCACUAACGAAAUGCUAAUA